rnacentral:rRNA from 1 species
CAGUCGCCGCGGUAAUACGAAGGGUGCAAGCGUUAAUCGGAAUUACUGGGCGUAAAGCGUGCGUAGGCGGAGAGUUAAGUCUGCUGUGAAAUCCCCGGGCUCAACCUGGGAAUGGCAGUGGAUACUGGCUCGCUAGAGUGUGUCAGAGGAUGGUGGAAUUCCCGGUGUAGCGGUGAAAUGCGUAGAGAUCGGGAGGAACAUCAGUGGCGAAGGCGGCCAUCUGGGACAACACUGACGCUGAGGCACGAAAGCGUGGGGAGCAAACAGGAUUAGAUACCCGCGUAGUCCCUGUCUCUUAUAC